rnacentral:lncRNA from 1 species
AGUUUGUUUCCAUUUUUUCCUUUCCUCAUAUUUUUCUUUCCCCUCCUCAUAAAUAGGGAAAGAACAAGGCAAUGGGGAAAAAAUAAGAACCAAGUUACAUCAUGUUAAAGUGCAAGAUCCCAAUGAUGAAUGGAGUUGUAAUUGUGUACCUAAAAUGUACCAAGAAGUUAAUGGAAAAAAUAUCAGCUCCCACAUGACCUUUACAUAUAAAUCUCCACAAAGUGUCUCCAAUCACUAGUCUGAGCAGCCCUUCACACGCUUCUGCUACCAGAUGUAGACUUGCCUCAGACCUGAACUAUCUGGUGUGCUGUGCGUCCUCAGGAACAACCAAACAUAAACCUUUGAGGGGCUGCUGGAAGAAUAUACAUGGGAGAGAUAUGGAAAAGGAGACAAAGAUUGCAGCCUCUCUUCUUUAAUCAAGAUUUUGCCACCAAGGAAAGUAACUAUAUCUAUUUUCCCCAGUAUUAACCAUAGAGAAGA